GAUGAACGCUGGCGGCGUGCCUAAUACAUGCAAGUCGAGCGAACAGACGAGGAGCUUGCUCCUCUGACGUUAGCGGCGGACGGGUGAGUAACACGUGGAUAACCUACCUAUAAGACUGGGAUCACUUCGGGAAACCGGAGCUAAUACCGGAUAAUAUCUUGAACCGCAUGGUUCAAUAGUGAAAUACGGCUUUGCUGUCACUUAUAGCUGCAUCGGCGCCGGAUUAGAUAGUUGGUAAGGUAACGGGUUACCAAGGCAACGAUGCGUAUCCGAACUGAGAGGGUGGUAGGCGACACGGGAAGGGGACCACGGACCAGGCGCCUGAGGGACGCAGCAGAAGGGAAUCGUCCGCAAUGGGCGGAAACAUUGCGGAGCAACGCCACGUGAGAGAUAAAGGUCUUCGGAUCGGAAAGCUGUGUUAUUAGGGAAAAACAAAUGUGGACGGAGAUAUGGACUGCGUGACGGUAACUAGUAAGAAAGCCACGGCUAACUACGUG
rnacentral:rRNA from 1 species